rnacentral:rRNA from 1 species
UACGUAGGGUGCAAGCGUUGUCCGGAAUUAUUGGGCGUAAAGAGCUCGUAGGCGGUCUGUCGCGUCGGCUGUGAAAACUCGGGGCUCAACCCCGAGCCUGCAGUCGAUACGGGCAGACUAGAGUGCUGUAGGGGAGACUGGAAUUCCGGUGUGAGCGGUGAAAUGCGCAGAUAUCAGGAGGAACACCGGUGGCGAAGGCGGGUCUCUAGUACGGUACUGACGCUGAGACGCGAAAGCGUGGGGAGCGAACAGG